GACGAACGCUGGCGGCGUGCUUAACACAUGCAAGUCGAACGGAAAGGCCCUGCUUUUGUGGGGGGCUCGAGUGGCGAACGGGUGAGUAACACGUGAGUAACCUGCCCUUGACUUUGGGAUAACUUCAGGAAACGGGGGCUAAUACCGGAUAGGAGCUCCGGCUGCAUGGUGGGGGUUGGAAAGUUUCGGCGGUUGGGGAUGGACUCGCGGCUUAUCAGCUUGUUGGUGGGGUAGUGGCUUACCAAGGCUUUGACGGGUAGCCGGCCUGAGAGGGUGACCGGCCACAUUGGGACUGAGAUACGGCCCAGACUCCUACGGGAGGCAGCAGUGGGGAAUAUUGCACAAUGGGCGGAAGCCUGAUGCAGCAACGCCGCGUGCGGGAUGACGGCCUUCGGGUUGUAAACCGCUUUCGCCUGUGACGAAGCGUGAGUGACGGUAAUGGGUAAAGAAGCACCGGCUAACUACGUG
rnacentral:rRNA from 1 species